AUUGAACGCUGGCGGCAUGCCUUACACAUGCAAGUCGAACGGUAACAGGUCUUCGGAUGCUGACGAGUGGCGAACGGGUGAGUAAUACAUCGGAACGUGCCUAGUAGUGGGGGAUAACUACUCGAAAGGGUGGCUAAUACCGCAUGAGAUCUACGGAUGAAAGCAGGGGAUCGCAAGACCUUGUGCUACUAGAGCGGCCGAUGGCAGAUUAGGUAGUUGGUGGGAUAAAAGCUUACCAAGCCGACGAUCUGUAGCUGGUCUGAGAGGACGAUCAGCCACACCCGGACUGAGACACGGCCAAGACUACUACGGGAGGCAGGAGUGGGGAUUUUUGGACAAUGGGCGCAAGCCUGAUCCAGCAAUGCCGCGUGCAGGAUGAGGGCCUUCGGGUUGUAAACUGCUUUUGUACGGAACGAAAAGCCCUGGGUUAAUACCCUGGGGUCAUGACGGUACCGUAAGAAUAAGCACCGGCUAACUACGUGCCAGCAGCCGCCGUAA
rnacentral:rRNA from 1 species